UAUUAUAUUACACUACAAAAAAUCAUUUAUAAAUGUGAUUAAGAUACAUUUUACAUACCCUAAGAUAUCCAGACCAAGACUUAUGUCCCCUGUUGUUAUAUAUACAGGUAAUAUAAAUACACACACAGGGGUUUCUCAUUGGCUAUGAAUUUCUCAUUCACGUUCCUGCAGUUACAAGGUUGCAGGAGAAGUUGUGUAGGAAAGCAAAAUAUUCACUCAUGUACCACUUAUAAAGUUAGUACCCAUUCAGAAACCAUUCUUCAUUUAGUGUGUGCAUCUGUCCUGACUUGUAAUUUGUUUGUAUGUUAAGCUUCUGAGGUGAUUUAAUCAGACCAGUUAAUAAGUAAACAAGAGAAAGAUCAACAAUGCUUUUGAGUUAUAGUCAUUAAAGGGAGAAUGGUUUGAAAAUUGAAGCAUUAAGAGAGGCAUUUGGGAAGCUUAAUGUAACUUGAGUGUUUUGAAAACAAAACCUUUAUGAUUGCCCUGUGAAAAUUAAAUGAUUUUGAAUUGGGCUAGCAUACAGUUUUUUGGAAAAAAUUUUGCCACAGAAGCAACAUUUAAUUUUCUCUUUUUAUGUUCUAAGAAUAAGCACAUUGUUUCCAUUAUAAUCUGAAUUGUAUCACAUACAAGGUAAACUAAAAGUUUUUCAAGAGAAUGUCCAAAUCAAACUUUUUAUGCCCACUAUUUAUUGUAAAAUUUGGUCUCUGUAUUAAAUGGAUUUACUUUGUAUGGCCUUUUCUGGUUAUCACUUAACCUCAUUUGAAUCUUUUACUUGAAUUCCAGUUAUCAUUCAUUUUAGAUGAUUUAUGAAAUCUUACUACUUUGUGAAUUCACCCAUUCUUCAUUCCCUUCUCUAUAUUGGACUUUGCUAAAUAACUGGAAAGUGUAUCUUACUGGCUUCAUGUAUAUGGCUUGUUUUCCUGGAAAAGUUUUAUUUAGUAUGUGUACAAUGCCCAUAAGUGGGUAGAAGGCACUAUAAAAUUAAUUUAUCUUUGCUAUAUCUAGAAGUAAAUAGAUAUGCAUGUUUUUUUCUUUCGUGAUUGGCAUAUUGAUAAAUAUGUUGAGUGUCUACUUAUAUUUCUGAAAUUAGAUUUUUCAGCUUUCCACCUUGGAAAAUCCAUACACAGUUAUAUAAGUCCCUUUUUGGCGUGAUGUAAAACCAUAUUAGUAUUUUUUAACCUUUUAGCAAGAAGUAGUAUAAGAAAUAUUUUGACAAGGAUUAUAGCCUAGAUUUUCACGUGUUUUUUCUUUAUGUAUUAAGAAAUAUUUGUGAGUGGAUUACUUAUUAAUUAUCAACCACAGCCCAAUGGGGUAGACUUUGUUCUGAGAAUUGACCUUUGCUUAUAAAAGCCAAACUUGUGGGUGGACCACUCGGCUGGAAGUGUGAGGAGGUCGGCAGUCAGUGGGGGAGGUGGAGGCGGCUCCUGCGAUCCAAAGGGACUUGAGACUUACUGGACACACACCAUGAGGGCCCUGUGGGUGCUGGGCCUCUGCUGGGCCCUGCUGACCUUCAGGUUGGUCAGAGCUGAUGAUCAAAUUGAUGUGGGUGGUACAGGAGAAGAGGAUCUGGGUAAAAGUGGAGAAGGCUCAAGGAUGGAUGAUGAAACAGUACAGAGAGAAGAAGAAGCUAUUCAGCUGGAUGGAGUAAAUGCAUCACCAGUAAGAGAACUUAAGUAGGAAAAGUUUGCCUUCCAAGCUGAAGUUAACAAAAUGAUGAAACUAUCAAUUCAUUAUAUACAAAUAAAGAGAUUUUCCUGAGAAAACUGGUUUCAGAUGCUUCCAAUGCUUUAGAUAAGAUAAAGCUAAUAUCACUGACUGAUGAAAAUGCUCUUUCUGGAAAUGAGGAACUAACAGUCAAAAUUAAGUGUGAUGAGGAGAAGUACCUGCUGGAUGUCACAGACACUGGUGUAGGAAUGACCAGAGGACAGUUGGUUAAAAACGUUGAUACCAUAGCCAAAUCUGGGACAAGCGAGUUUGUAAACAAAAUGAAUGAAGCACAGGCAGAUGGCCAGUCACCUUCUGAAUUGAUUGGCCAGUUUGGUGUCACCUUCCUUUAGCAGGUAAGGUUAUUGUCACAUCAAAACACAAUGAUACCUAGCACAUCUGGGAGUCUGACUCCAGUGAAUUUUUUGCAAUUGCUGACACAAGAGGAAACACUCUAGGAUAGGGAACGACCAUUACCCUUGUUUUCAAAGAAGAAGCAUCUGAUUACCUUGAAUCGGAUACAAUUAAAAAUCUCAUCAAAAAAUACAGUUCAUAAACUUUCCUGUUUAUGUGUGGAGCAGCAAGACUGAAACUGUUGAGGAGCCCAUGGAGGAAGAAGCAGCAGCAAAAGAAGAGAAAGAAGAAUCUCAUAAGGAAGCUGCAGGAGAAGAAGAAGAAAAAAAGAAACCAAAGACUAAAAAAAGUUGGAAAAACUGUCUGAGACUGGGAACAUAUGAAUGAUAUCAAACCAAUAUGGCAGAGAACAUCCAAAGAAGUAGAAGGAGAUGAAUACAAAACUUUCUACAAAUCAUUUUCAAAGGAAAGUGUUGACUCCAUGGCUUAUAUUCACUUUACUGCUGAAGGGGAAGUUACCUUCAAAUCAAUUUUAUUUGUACCCACAUCUGUUCUACAUGGUCUAUUUGACGAAUAUGGAUCUAAAAAGAGUGAUUACAUUAAGCUCUAUGUAUACCGUGUAUUCAUCAUAGAUGACUUCCAUGAUAUGAUGCCUAAGUACCUUAAUUUUGUUCAGGGUGUGGUGGACUCAGAUGUUCUUUCCUUGAAUGUUUCCCUUGAGACUCUUCAGCAGCAUAAACUGCUUAAUGUGAUUAGGAAGAAGCUUGUUCAUAAAACACUGGACAUGAUUAAGAAGAUUGUUGAUGAGUAAUACAAUGAUACCUUUUGGAAAGAAUUUGGUACCAACAUCAAGCUUGGUGUAAUUGAAGACCACUCGAAUCGAACACGUGAAACUUCUUAGAUUCCAGUCUUCUCAUCAUCCAGCUAACAGUACUAGCCUGGACCAGUAUGUGGAAAAAAUGAAGGAAAAACAAGACAAAAUCUACUUCAUGGCUGGGUCCAGCAGAAAAAGGGCUGAAUUUUUUCCAUUGUUGAGCGACUUCUGAAAAAGGCCUAUGAAGUUAUUUACCUCACGGAACCUGUGGGUGAAUACCGCAUUCAGGCCCUUUCCGAAUUUUAUGGGAAGAGAUUCCAGAAUGUUGUCAAGGAAGCAGUGAAGUUUGAUGAAAGUGGGAAAACUAAGAAGAGUCAUGAAGCAGUUGAGAAAGAAUUUGAGCCUCUGCUCCCUUGGAUGAAAGAUAAAGCCCUUAAGGACAAGACUGAAAAGGCUGUGGUGUCUCAGCCAGAAUCUCUGUGAGCUUUGGUGGCCAUCCAGUACGGAUGGCCUGGCAACACGGAGAGAAUCAUGAAAGCACAAGCGUACCAGAUGGGCAAGGACAUCUCUACAAAUUACUAUGUGAGUCAGAAGAAAACAUUUGAAAUUAAUCCCAGACACCCACUGAUCAGAGACAUGUUUCGAUGAAUUAAGGAAGAUGAAGAUGGUAAAACAGCUUUGGAUCUUGCUGUCGUUUUGUUUGAAACAGCAAUGUUUUGGUCAGGAUAUCUUUUACCAGACAUUACAGCAUAUGGAGAUAGAAUAAAAAGAAUGCUCCACCUCAGUUUGAACAUUGACCCUGAUGCAAAGGUAGAAGAAGAACCGGAAGAAGAACCUGAAGAGACAAAAGACACAACAGAAGACACAGAGCAAGACGAAGACAAAGAAAUGGAUGUGGGAACAGAUGAAGAAGAACAAGAAACGGCUAAGGAAUCUACAGCUGAAAAAGAUGAAUUGUAAAUUAUACUCUCACAGUUUGGAUCCUGUGUGGAGAGGGAAUGUGAAAUUUAAGUCAUUUCUUUUUGGAGAGACCUUUUUUAGAUGGCCCCCCACCAGGCUCCUCAUCCCCUGCACUGUAAAAUGUGGGAUUAUGGGUUAUAGGAAA